rnacentral:rRNA from 1 species
AGACAAUAGAUACCCCCGGUAGUCCCAGCUGUAAACGAUGCAGACUCGGUGAUGAGUUGGCUACAUGCCAUCUCAGUGCCGCAGGGAAGCCGUUAAGUUUGCCGCCUGGGGAGUACGGUCGCAAGACUGAAGCUUAAAGGAAUUGGCGGGGGAGCACCCACGAAAGGGGUGAAGCCUGCGGUUCAAUUGGAGUCAACGCCGGAAAUCGUUACCGGGGGCGACAGCAGUGUGAAGGUCAAGCUGAAGACUUUACCAGACAAGCUGAGAGGAGGUGCAUGGCCGUCGCCAGCUCGUGCCGUGAGGUGUCCUGUUAAGUCAGGUAACGAGCGAGACCCCUGCCUCUAGUUGCUACUAUUAUUCUCAGGAGUAGUGGAGCUAAUUAGAGGGACUGCCGUCGCUGAGACGGAGGAAGGAGGGGGCUACGGCAAGUCAGUAUGCCCCGAAACCCUCGGGCCACACGCGGGCUGCAAUGGUAA